rnacentral:rRNA from 1 species
GACGAACGCUGGCGGCGUGCCUAAUACAUGCAAGUCGAGCGAAUGGAAGGGAGCUUGCUCCCUGAAGUUAGCGGCGGACGGGUGAGUAACACGUGGGCAACCUGCCUGUAAGACUGGGAUAACUUCGGGAAACCGGAGCUAAUACCGGAUACGUUCUUUCCUCGCAUGAGGAAAGAUGGAAAGAUGGUUUCGGCUAUCACUUACAGAUGGGCCCGCGGCGCAUUAGCUAGUUGGUGGGGUAAUGGCCCACCAAGGCGACGAUGCGUAGCCGACCUGAGAGGGUGAUCGGCUACACUGGGACUGAGACACGGCCCAGACUCCUACGGGAGGCAGCAGUAGGGAAUCUUCCGCAAUGGACGAAAGUCUGACGGAGCAACGCCGCGUGAGCGAAGAAGGCCUUCGGGUCGUAAAGCUCUGUUGUCAGGGAAGAACAAGUGCCAGAGUAACUGCUGGCACCUUGACGGUACCUGACCAGAAAGCCACGGCUAACUACGUGCCAGCCGCCGCAGUAAGAC